CAGCAGCCGCGGUAAUACGAAGGGUGCAAGCGUUAAUCGGAAUUACUGGGCGUAAAGCGUGCGCAGGCGGUUUGUUAAGACAGAUGUGAAAUCCCCGGGCUCAACCUGGGAACUGCAUUUGUGACUGGCAAGCUAGAGUGUGGCAGAGGGGGGUGGGAUUCCGCGUGUAGCAGUGAAAUGCGUAGAUAUGCGGAGGAACACCGAUGGCGAAGGCAGCCCCCUGGGCCAACACUGACGCUCAUGCACGAAAGCGUGGGGAGCAAACAGGAUUAGAGACCCCUGUAGUCCCUGUCUCUUAUAA
rnacentral:rRNA from 1 species